CCUACGGGUGGCUGCAGUGGGGGAUAUUGGACAAUGGGGGGAACCCUGAUCCAGCGACGCCGCGUGAGUGAAGAAGUAUUUCGGUAUGUAAAGCUCUGUCAGCAGGGAAGAAAGCAAUGACGGUACCUGACCAAGAAGCCCCGGCUAACUACGUGCCAGCAGCCGCGGUAAUACGUAGGGGGCAAGCGUUAUCCGGAUUUACUGGGUGUAAAGGGAGCGUAGACGGCAGCACAAGUCUGGAGUGAAAUCCCGGGGCUUAACCCCGGAACUGCUUUGGAAACUGUGCGGCUGGAGUGCAGGAGGGGUAAGCGGAAUUCCUAGUGUAGCGGUGAAAUGCGUAGAUAUUAGGAGGAACACCAGUGGCGAAGGCGGCCUGCUGGACAGAAACUGACGUUGAGGCUCGAAAGCGUGGGGAGCAAACAGGAUUAGAUACCCGGGUAGUC
rnacentral:rRNA from 1 species